UACGUAGGGGGCAAGCGUUGUCCGGAAUCAUUGGGCGUAAAGAGCGUGUAGGCGGCCCGAUAAGUCCGCUGUGAAAGUCCAGGGCUCAACCCUGGGAUGCCGGUGGAUACUGUCGGGCUCGAGUCCGGGAAGAGGAGUUGUGGAAUUCCUGGUGUAGCGGUGAAAUGCGCAGAUAUCAGGAGGAACACCAAUGGCGAAGGCAGCACUCUGGGACGUGACUGACGCUGAGACGCGAAAGCGUGGGGAGCAAACAGG
rnacentral:rRNA from 1 species